rnacentral:rRNA from 1 species
GUGCUUACACAUGCAAGUCGAACGAUGAUCCCAGCUUGCUGGGGGAUUAGUGGCGAACGGGUGAGUAACACGUGAGUAACCUGCCCUUGACUCUGGGAUAAGCCUGGGAAACUGGGUCUAAUACCGGAUACGACCAUCUGGCGCAUGUCAUGGUGGUGGAAAGCUUUUGUGGUUUUGGAUGGACUCGCGGCCUAUCAGCUUGUUGGUGGGGUAAUGGCCUACCAAGGCGACGACGGGUAGCCGGCCUGAGAGGGUGACCGGCCACACUGGGACUGAGACACGGCCCAGACUCCUACGGGAGGCAGCAGUGGGGAAUAUUGCACAAUGGGCGCAAGCCUGAUGCAGCGACGCCGCGUGAGGGAUGACGGCCUUCGGGUUGUAAACCUCUUUCAGUAGGGAAGAAGCGAAAGUGACGGUACCUGCAGAAGAAGCGCCGGCUAACUACGUGCCAGC